UGGGGAAUCUUGGACAAUGGGGGCAACCCUGAUCCAGCGACGCCGCGUGGGUGGUAAGGCCUUCGGGUUGUAAAGCCCUUUCACCGGGGAAGAUGAUGACAUUACCCGGAGAAGAAGCGCCGGCUAACUCCGUGCCAGCAGCCGCGGUAAGACGGAGGGCGCUAGCGUUGUUCGGAAUCACUGGGCGUAAAGGGCGCGUAGGCGGCUGUUUAAGUCGAGGGUGAAAGCCCGGGGCUCAACCCCGGAACGGCCUUCGAGACUGGGCAGCUCGAGACCGGAAGAGGAGGGUGGAAUACCCAGUGUAGAGGUGAAAUUCGUAGAUAUUCGGAGGAACACCAGUGGCGAAGGCGGCUCACUGGCUCGAUACUGACGCUGAGGUGCGAAAGUGUGGGGAGCAAACAGGAUUAGAUACCCCCGUAGUCC
rnacentral:rRNA from 1 species